GGAAAUCCCUCUUCUUGUUCUGCCAUCCUCAUCUAUUUUCAAUCUUGAUGCACCUUUGAACUCAUUCACGGAUCUGCAACGGGUAUUAUUUGAAGAAGAACGAACUGCAUAUAAUCAGGCUGUUGUAACAAAUAUGAGAGAAACAAAAGUGCACCCGCUCACUUUCAUCCACCACACAUCUACAUAUCAGGCUUCUAUGUGCAAAUUAAUGGAGUAUUGCUUAAGUCCCGCCAUCAGUGCCCUCCAGGACCAGUUAAGAGAGAAUGAAGUUCGGCUAAAGAUGCUAAGUGAAGAAGCCAAAGUUUUGGAAACUGAGAUUAUAAGAGGGGAACCAAAUACAAGUUCUCCUCGUCGAGGUAGUGCUUCAUUGGGUCAAAGAGACUUGUACAGUCCAACCGAGUUAAGAAGUGUUUCCGGUUCAAGUAGCCGGAGCAGAAAAGCAUCCUAAUGAAGUAGCAAGGCGAUCUUACCUAUGCGAAGUGUAUAGUAGGGGUUUAUUUUGUUAUCUCACCUUGUUGUGACUGAUUCUGGUCCCUUUUGGUGCUUAAUAUGAUGCCAAGUUUUGGUUAUUUUUGAGUUUGUACAAGGCAAAUUUACUGUAAUGGUUCUG
rnacentral:misc_RNA from 1 species